CACGUAGAGCGCAAGCGUUGUCCGGAAUUAUUGGGCGUAAAGAGCUCGUAGGCGGUCUGUUGCGUCCGCUGUGAAAACCCGGGGCUUAACCCUGGGCUGGCAGUGGAUACGGACAGACUAGAGGUAGGUAGGGGAGAAUGGAAUUCCCGGUGUAGCGGUGAAAUGCGCAGAUAUCGGGAGGAACACCGGUGGCGAAGGCGGUUCUCUGGGCCUUACCUGACGCUGAGGAGCGAAAGCGUGGGGAGCGAACAGG
rnacentral:rRNA from 1 species